rnacentral:rRNA from 1 species
UACGGAGGGUGCAAGCGUUAUCCGGAUUCACUGGGUUUAAAGGGUGCGUAGGCGGAUAGGUAAGUCCGUGGUGAAAUCCUGCAGCUUAACUGCAGAACUGCCAUGGAUACUAUUUAUCUUGAAUGUCGUGGAGGUUAGCAGAAUAUGUCAUGUAGCGGUGAAAUGCUUAGAGAUGACAUAGAAUACCCAUGCGAAGGCAGCUAACUACGCGAUAAUUGACGCUCAUGCACGAAAGCGUGGGGAUCAAACAGG